ensembl:misc_RNA Metazoa_SRP Metazoan signal recognition particle RNA
GCCGGGCGCGGUGGCUCACGCCUGUAAUCCCAGUACUUUGGGAGGCCGAGGUGGGUGGAUCACCUGAGGUCAGGAGUUUGAGACCAGCCUGGCCAACAUGGUGAAACCCCGUCUCUA